UUGAGCAGGCAAAAAGUGAUGUGUAGCCAAAUAUAAAGACAAAGAGAAGGCAAAAAGCAAUGGAUAUAUUUAGGAAUAUAGGUGUCCAAAGAUCUAUUUACUUUUUGUUUAUUUCAGGAAGUUAGGUGCAUCUCAAGUGCAGGCAGUAAAUGAAUACCAGCUGUCAGUAGCAGACACUGUGCAUUAAUGUGCAAGAUGAUGAACCAACCAAAACUGUUUUCAUUUCUUGGACACAUCAGGAUGAAGCCUUAGGAAGCAGACUGUUAGACAUCAUAAAAGCAAAUUUCAAGAAAACUUAACACUGGAGGAAGAAGGUCACAGAGAUCUGAUAAGACUGGUUUUUAUGUCAUAUGAAGGAAAUAAAUUUUAUACAUUAAAAAAAAAC